rnacentral:rRNA from 1 species
CCUACGGGUGACAGCAGUGAGGAAUAUUGGUCAAUGGACGAGAGUCUGAACCAGCCAAGUAGCGUGAAGGAUGACUGCUCUAUGGGUUGUAAACUUCUUUUAUAAAGGAAUAAAACGAGGCACGUGUGCCUUUUUGCAUGUACUUUAUGAAUAAGGAUCGGCUAACUCCGUGCCAGCAGCCGCGGUAAUACGGAGGAUCCGAGCGUUAUCCGGAUUUAUUGGGUUUAAAGGGAGCGUAGAUGGGUUGUUAAGUCAGUUGUGAAAGUUUGCGGCUCAACCGUAAAAUUGCAAUUGAUACUGGCAGUCUUGAGUACAGUUGAGGUAGGCGGAAUGCGUGGUGUAGCGGUGAAAUGCUUAGAUAUCACGAAGAACCCCGAUUGCGAAGGCAGCUUACUAAACUGUAACUGACAUUGAUGCUCGAAAGUGUGGGUAGCAAACAGGAUUAGAUACCCUAGUAGUC